UUAAAAUUUUCAUCGUCCCAAAAAAAAACAAUAUAAAUAGGAGCACGCUGUAUACAAGAGUGAUAAAAUGAAAUCGGAAAGAGGCGCUUGCGCAUUCGUAAUCACAAGAUUGCAUCUCGCUUGUCAGUUAGCCUUCGACCGUCCUGCAGUCAACACUGCUGUGUGUACUGAACACCUACAUCGUGCAGUCACAACUGGUAUCGAUCGUAAUUAUUUUUGAACAAAAACUUAUUUAAAAAAUUUUGAUAACAAUUAUUUUUAUCACCUUUCUAAUUGUAUUUUGCAUUAUCUAAUAUCUUUGUUUCACAGUCUUAUUGAACAUUAAUUAGGAUUUUUUUUAAUAAUGUCUAGUAAUUAGUAACAAGAUUAGUAACAAUUAGUAGCAUAAACGAAAGCCCAGUGGUAUUUUAAAUAAAUGUUCUAACAGC